GACGAACGCUGGCGGCGUGCUUAACACAUGCAAGUCGAACGGAAAGGCCCUGCUUUUGUGGGGUGCUCGAGUGGCGAACGGGUGAGUAACACGUGAGUAACCUUCCCUUGACUUUGGGAUAACUUCAGGAAACUGGGGCUAAUACCGGAUAGGAGCUCCUGCUGCAUGGUGGGGGUUGGAAAGUUUCGGCGGUUGGGGAUGGACUCGCGGCUUAUCAGCUUGUUGGUGGGGUAGUGGCUUACCAAGGCUUUGACGGGUAGCCGGCCUGAGAGGGUGACCGGCCACAUUGGGACUGAGAUACGGCCCAGCCUCCUACGGGAGGCAGCAGUGGGGAAUAUUGCACAAUGGGCGGAAGCCUGAUGCAGCAACGCCGCGUGCGGGAUGACGGCCUUCGGGUUGUAAACCGCUUUAGCCUGUGACGAAGCGUGAGUGACGGUAAUGGGUAAAGAAGCACCGGCUAACUACGUG
rnacentral:rRNA from 1 species